rnacentral:lncRNA from 1 species
ACUUUAUAGAAAUCACUCUUCCAUCUUCUCCAUUCACAGACGGCGGACGAACUAGGGUUCGAUUGUAGGUUAUGUGGGAAUGAUUUGAAUGAGCAAAUUAAUAUUACGCAACACAUCCACAAUCUUCCAGUCACGGCGCAUAGAGAAGGCAACGAAUCUAGGAUUUUGGAGAGAUGUAAUGGCGAAGACGAAGGUUGGUGCUGGAGGUUCGUAACAAUGGUUUCCUUUUGUUUACAAUGGUUUAAGAUUCGUAAGCGGUGUUCUUUUUAUUACUGUGGAAUCCAUCUGCAGUCUCUCUAUAAAUCUCUUAGGUUUCUUCGCUUGUUGUGAAAAAUCGGUAGCUUAUGUGUAGAAUCAGUGAGAUUUUUGAAAGUUCCCCUUUUCUUUAAACGAUUGUGGGGUUUUAUAUGUUUGUAGUCCAAAAUUGGGGUUUUUUAGAUUUGGGGUAUAAUUUUCUAUUGAUUCCAGUAAUUGAUUUUUUCCAUCUUGGGUGCGGAUGUGGGAUUAUGUGCGUGGAACCCAUCUGCACUCUUUCUCUCACUUUUAAAUUUCUUGGAUUAUUGUGAAAAAUUGAUUCCCUAUGUUACGAAUUUUUUUGAAUUAGUUACGAAUGUUUUUGAAUUUGUUACGAAUUCCUUAUGUUAAGAAUAUUAGGCAAUUUAUGUUUUGGGUUCACGAACCAAAAGUUGAAGCGCCACUUUUUUUUUGGGAAAUUCUAGGUCUACGAUAUUCAAAGGCGGCGAAUGAGUUGGGCAAAGAAAUCCUUUGUCAUUGAACCGUACUCUCUCGUGAAUACUGCUCUGUUGUGAAAUCGCGCGAUAUUGCAAGGUUGUGGAGUGAGCUGCACUACUUCGUGUGAUCUAAAAAUGGCAAGGAUUAAAGGUAAUAAAUCAUGAAAUAUUGGAUACUGGAGUUCGUUAGAUUAGCUUUUUCUCUUCUCAGUUUCAGUUUAUAAUGGAACACUCAUUUUUGGUUCAUCUAGUUCUUGACGUUUGAGAAUAUAACACCCAUUUUUGGUUGAUAGAUUUAGGUUAUGGGUUCGGGAACCAAAAUUUUUGGUAGUCCAUUUGAGUAAUCUAUGUUGGUAGUAUUUUUUUCCGGUCUGUUGCUUUCUUGUUUCCACUAUUCGUGUAGAUGGCUUGCUUGCUGACACAAAUAUUUGUGAUUAUUAGUUACGAAUCACAUCGCAAUUACAAACGAAUUAAUUGCGCAUGCUGAUAUCAUGGUAGCAGUGUAUAGUGGAUGAGUUUUGGGGGG